CGUUGAUUCCAUCAGAACUAAAUGGUCUCUUGAGUAAAACAAAGACUUGUUUGCGUGUGUUUACAGCUGCCAUCGCCUGUAAGAAGAUGAGGUAGAAUAUAAAGACUGUAUGUAUCCUAACACUGUAGAAUAUAAACACUGUAUGUAUCCUAACACUGUAGAAUAUAAACACUGUAUGUAUCCUAACACUGUAGAAUAUAAACACUGUAUGUAUCCUAACACUGUAGAAGAUGAACACUGUAUGUAUCCUAACACUGUAGAAGAUAAGGUAGAAUAUAA